UACGUAGGGUGCGAGCGUUGUCCGGAAUUAUUGGGCGUAAAGGGCUCGUAGGCGGUUUGUCGCGUCGGGAGUGAAAACCUUGGGCUUAACUCAGGGCUUGCUUUCGAUACGGGCAGACUAGAGGUAUGCAGGGGAGAACGGAAUUCCUGGUGUAGCGGUGAAAUGCGCAGAUAUCAGGAGGAACACCGGUGGCGAAGGCGGGUCUCUGGGCAACAACUGACGCUGAGGAGCGAAAGCGUGGGGAGCAAACGGG
rnacentral:rRNA from 1 species